rnacentral:piRNA from 1 species
UUCAGAACAGGGGUUUUCAACAUGUGG